CUUCCCAAGUGAAAGCAAUAAGCCUUAACCAAAGCUGUGACUUAACCAAGGAUUCACAAGGCAUCUCCAAACAUAUAAGGCCUUCAGUAUAUCAAGAUCAGUGGAUCAAAGAAACAUCUUCAAGAAACUAAGAGGCAACACAAGAUUCUCUCUGAUGAAAUGCUUAAGUAUAAGGAAUGAAAAACGACCUGAAAGGCCUCUUUGCUUCACGAAGUUCUGUGGAAGCAGAAGUGC